GGGAGUCAAGCUGGGGAAAAAAUCAAGUUAACAUUAAGUGUUCAGGGCACCUGGAUAUUCCUCAGGCUCCCUGC